GUAGAUGAGGGUGCCGUGGAGUCCCGUUUCUUGGGGCUGUCUUGGGAAUUCAGCUGUAAAGAGGAGGGGGAGGCAGAGAGCGGGAGUUAGCACCCAGCGAGGC